CGAUGGAGGGGGAUAACUACUGGAAACGGUAGCUAAUACCGCAUAACGUCGCAAGACCAAAGAGGGGGACCUUCGGGCCUCUUGCCAUCGGAUGUGCCCAGAUGGGAUAGCUAGUAGGUGGGGUAACGGCUCACCUAGGCGACGAUCCCUAGCUGGUCUGAGAGGAUGACCAGCCACACUGGAACUGAGACACGGUCCAG
rnacentral:rRNA from 1 species